GAAGGUUUCAAAACUUUCAAUGGCUGGUAAUGGCAUUUCUAACGCUGGUAAUCUUACUUGCAAAUUAAAGGUGCUCAAAGAAAAAAUUGAGAAUGAGUUGGAUGGUGUAAUGAAGUUUUGGUUGGAAAAUUCUCAUGAUGCUUCUCAUGGGGGAUUUCACAAUUGUUUGGAUAAAAAUGGACAGGUUUAUGAUACAACAAAAUACGGAUGGUUACAAGGUCGACAGGUUUGGAUGUAUUGCAAGUUGUACAAUACAACACAAAAAUAUCACACGGAAGAGAUUCUGGCUGCAGCAAGAAAAGGUGGGGAUUUUCUUCAAUCCUACUUCAAAAGGCCUGAGGACAACAAGUGUUAUUUUGCAACUACUUGUGAUGGAAAACCAAUAAAAAUGCAGCGAACGAUCUUCUGUGAGUGUUUCUACAUCAUGGCAAUGACUGGACUCUACCAGGCAACCAAUGAAAGUAAAUACAAGGAUGAAGCCAUCUCUGUCCUGUCUUCUGUUCUUCAUUGGAUUCAUGUGGAUGACAGCAGCCUUGGAAGACCUAAGUUGACUGGGUCACCUCCAGUGAAUAAAAUGAGCAUUCCUAUGAUGGUCAUCUGUGUUUUAAAUGAGGUCUGUGAUGACAAGGAAAUGGCAUCACAGUAUGAAGGGGAACUGCAAUGGGCGGUUAAUGAAAUCUUAAAACAUGUCCAGAGAAACGGGACUGUUAUCUUAGAAAAUGUUGAUGUGGACGGUCACGAGAUUCCAGGAUGCGAAGGGCGUCUCAUCAACCCAGGCCAUGCCAUAGAGGCGGGCUGGUUUCUUUUGAACCACGCCCAAGCUUGUGGCGAUGAUGACCUAAAACGCACUGCGAUAGAAAAAUUCAUAGAAUUACCCUUCGCGAUAGGUUGGGAUUUUGAGAAUUCAGGAUUGUAUUACUUUUUGGACGCUGAUGGUUUUUCACCAACGCAACUGGAGUGGAAUAUGAAAUUGUGGUGGCCGCAUUGCGAAGCUCUGAUCGCGUUUCUCAUGGCUUACAAAGAGACAAAAUGUUUGAAACAUUUUGAAAGUUUCUGCAAAGUAAUUCAGUACACCUGGACUCAUAUUAUAUGCCAGAUUGAUGAUCAGUUAAUCAAUUGAAAAAGAAAGAACGAGUAUAUCAGUGGAUAAUGGUUGAACGGAUAACUAUUGGAAUGAUUCAUCAGAUUCAAGUGUUAUAAAAACUUGUCUAGUUUAAAGACGAUGAAAGUCAAGAAUGGUUUGGUUAUCUGAAUGAAAAAGGAGAAAUUACACACAGGUUUAAAGGAGGUCCAUUU
rnacentral:misc_RNA from 1 species